UCCCGGAUCGUCCAAUGGCAGGACUCGCGGUUUUGGUCCGCGCAAUCGGGGUUCGAAUCCCUGUCCGGGAG
rnacentral:tRNA from 1 species